UCCUGGUUAGCUCAGUUGGUAGAGCGCUCCACUGGAAGUAGAGAGGUACCUGGUUGGAUACCAGGACCAGGUA
rnacentral:tRNA from 1 species